CGGGUGAGUAACGCGUGAGGGACCUGCCUCAAAGAGGGGGACAACAGUUGGAAACGACUGCUAAUACCGCAUAAGCCCACGGCUCGGCAUCGAGCAGAGGGAAAAGGAGUGAUCCGCUUUGAGAUGGCCUCGCGUCCGAUUAGCUAGUUGGUGAGGUAACGGCCCACCAAGGCGACGAUCGGUAGCCGGACUGAGAGGUUGAACGGCCACAUUGGGACUGAGACACGGCCCAG
rnacentral:rRNA from 1 species